GCAACAUAAUUUGUACAUUUAUCACUACCAACUAGCGCUUGUUUUAUCCUUUUGAAAUCUCUGAUUGAUUUUCUUCUUGUUAUCUGCAUUCCAGUCUUCUCAUUUAUGUCCAUUUGAUGUUGAAACAGCUUGUACUGGAUGGCAAUACAGUAACAUAUUACAAAUUAGCUCUUGCUUUAUCCUUUGAAGUCUCUGAUUGAUUGUCUUUGACACAGCCCAAGCUUGAAACAAAUGGCAGUAUACACAGAGUGAAAAUAAAGAGAAAAACCUUUGCUGGAUUUUUAUUAA
rnacentral:misc_RNA from 1 species